AUAAAAGCAAUGAAAAGAAUAAGUAGAAAUUAGUGAUGCCAUACAGAAAGUUACCGGUUGAUGAGAGGUGCAUGGAAGCUGGUUUUGAAUACAUCUUAGAGCUUCAAGCUGAAAAAAGUUUCUUUUGAGUAGGUGAUGACGGAACCCUGCACCCGUUAUAGUGCUAAAGUAUAACCAAAAUUUUGGCGUACUUGAAGAGGUUAAUCGUGUGAGCGAUUAAUGAAUUAAGGUGGUAACACGGGAGUUAUACUCUUGUCCUUUAU
rnacentral:ncRNA from 1 species